rnacentral:misc_RNA from 1 species
CGGCCACCGGCCCAAUAUCAACCACCGUUGACGGCAGUGGAAGAGAUCAUGACGACGACGAAGACGAGCCAAAUGGAGGCGGCGUGGUGGUCGGAAACCGCCGAUCGAGAGGACGGCCACCGGGAUCGAAAAACAAACCAAAAUCUCCAAUCAUCGUCACGAGCGACAACCCUCACGCGCUUCGCACGCACGUGAUCGAGAUCAUCGUAG